rnacentral:rRNA from 1 species
AGGCCUAACACAUGCAAGUCGAGCGGUAGCACAGAGAGCUUGCUCUCGGGUGACGAGCGGCGGACGGGUGAGUAAUGUCUGGGAAACUGCCUGAUGGAGGGGGAUAACUACUGGAAACGGUAGCUAAUACCGCAUAAUGUCGCAAGACCAAAGUGGGGGACCUUCGGGCCUCAUGCCAUCAGAUGUGCCCAGAUGGGAUUAGCUAGUAGGUGGGGUAACGGCUCACCUAGGCGACGAUCCCUAGCUGGUCUGAGAGGAUGACCAGCCACACUGGAACUGAGACACGGUC